UCUGAUUGAUCCUGCCAGUAGCAUAUGCUUGUCUCAAAGAUUAAGCCAUGCAUGUCUAAGUACACACAGGUGGUACAGUGAAACUGUGAUGGCCCAUUAAAUCAGUUAUGGAUCCUUUGCUCACUCCAACCAUUACUUGGAUAACUGUGGUAAUUCUAGAGCUAGUACAUGCUGACGAGCACUGACCUCCGGGGAUGCAUGCGUUUAUCAGGCCAAAACCAACCCGGGCUCACCCAGCCGCUUUGGUAACUAGAUAACCUCGGGCCGAUCGCACGCCUUUGUGGCGGUGACGACGCAUGCGAAUGUCUGCCCUAUCAACUUUCGAUGGUACUUUCUGUGCCUACCAUGGUGACCACAGGUAACAGGGAAUCAGGAUUUUGGAAAGGGAGCCUGAGAAAUGGCUACCACAUCCAAGGAAGGCAGCAGGAGCACAAAUUACCCACUCCAGACCCGGGGAGGUAGUGACGAAAAAUAACAAUAGAGGACUCUUUCAAGGCCCUGUAAUUGGAAUGAGUACACUUUAAAUCCUUUAACGAGGAUCUAUUGGAGGGCAAGUCUGGUGCCAGCAACCACAGUAAUUCCGGCUCUAAUAGCAUAUAUUAAAGUUGCUGCAGUUAAAAAGCUCAUAGUUGGAUCUUGGGAUUGAGCUGGGGGUCCACCACAAGGCAAGCUACCGCCUGUCCCAGCCCCUGCCUCUCGACACUCCCUUGAUGCCCUUAACUGAGUGUCCUGGGGGUCUGAAGCAUUUACUUUGAAAAAAUUAGAGUGUUCAAAGCAGGCUGGUGGCUAGAAUACUCCAGCUAGGAAUAAUGAAAUAGGGCUCCGGUUCUGUUUUGUUGGUUUUCAGAACUGGGGCCAUGAUUAAGAUGGAUGGCCAGGAGCAUUCGUAUUGUGCCACUAGAGGUGAACGUGUUAAACUGGCUCAAGAGAAACCAAAGUGAAAGCAUUUGCCAGGAACGUUUUCAUUAAUCAUGAACAAAAGUUGGAGGUUCGAAGACUAUCAGAUACCAUCAAAGUUCUGACCAUAAACAACGCCGACUAGCAAUCUAGCGGCGUUAUGCCCACGAUCCCUAGCGUAUGUGCUAGGACCUGAGGGUGCUGAGGGGAUUGGUGGGGGUCAUAGCAGGGCCCCUGCCAUGGAUCUAUAAGUGCUCGUGCGGAACUGGCCAGGUACCAGAGGAUUAGCAAAGGGCCAUUGUGGUCCCCAUUUACAAGAAGGGGAGAAAGGAGGACGCCAGCAAUUAUAGGCCAGUCAGUCUUACCUUGGUCCUUAGGAAGACCUUUGAGAAAAUUAUCAAGGAGCACAUCUGCAAGGGCCCAGCAGGGGAAGUAAUGCUCAAGGGCAACCACCAUGGAUUCAUUGAGGGCAGGUGCUGCCUGACUAACCUGGUUUUGUUUUUCUGAUCAGGUCACAAAAUCCCUGGAUGAGGGUGUCAGGGUGGAUGUCAUCUUCCUGGACUUUAAGAAGGCCUUUGACAUGAUUUCCCACCACAUUCUCUUAAACAAAUUAGGUGACUGUGGCAUUGAUGCCUACACAGUCAGAUGGGUGGCAAAUCUGCUAGAUGGUCACACCCAGAGAGUGGUGUUGGAUGGGUCAUUUUCAACCUGGAGGGAUGUGGGCAGUGGAGUCCCCCAGGGCUUGGUCCUGGGGCCUGUACUGUUCAACAUCUUUAUCAGUGAUCUGGAUGUGGGUGUAGAAAGCACGCUGUCCAAAUUCGCUGAUAACACCAGGUUGUAG
rnacentral:rRNA from 1 species